rnacentral:rRNA from 1 species
UACGUAGGGGGCAAGCGUUGUCCGGAAUCAUUGGGCGUGAAGCGCGUGUAGGCGGCCCGGUAAGUCCGCUGUGAAAGUCGGGGGCUCAACCCUCGAAUGCCGGUGGAUACUGUCGGGCUAGAGUGCGGGAGAGGCGAGUGGAAUUCCUGGUGUAGCGGUGAAAUGCGCAGAUAUCAGGAGGAACACCAAUUGCGAAGGCAGCUCGCUGGGACGUUACUGACGCUGAGACGCGAAAGCGUGGGGAGCAAACAGG